GGGCUCACUUCAGCAGCACAUAUACUAAAAUUGGAACAAUACAGAGAAUGCUAGCAUGGCCCCUGUGCAAGGAUGAUGUGCAAAUUUGUGAAACAGUCCAUAUUUUU
ensembl:snRNA U6 U6 spliceosomal RNA